rnacentral:rRNA from 1 species
UACGAAGGGGGCUAGCGUUGUUCGGAAUUACUGGGCGUAAAGCGCGCGCAGGCGGUUCUUUCAAGUCAGAGGUGAAAGCCCAGAGCUCAACUCUGGAAUGGCCUUUGAGACUAGAGAACUAGGGUACGGGAGAGGUGAGUGGAAUUCCGAGUGUAGAGGUGAAAUUCGUAGAUAUUCGGAAGAACACCAGUGGCGAAGGCGGCUCACUGGCCCGUUACCGACGCUCAGGCGCGACAGCGUGGGGA